GACGAACGCUGGCGGCGUGCCUAAUACAUGCAAGUCGAGCGAAGUUUUUCUGGUGCUUGCACCGGAAAAACUUAGCGGCGAACGGGUGAGUAACACGUAAAGAACCUGCCUCAUAGACUGGGACAACUAUUGGAAACGAUAGCUAAUACCGGAUAAUAGCAUUAACUGCAUGGUUGAUGUUUAAAAGUUGGUUUUGCUAACACUAUGAGAUGGCUUUGCGGUGCAUUAGCUAGUUGGUGGGGUAAAGGCCUACCAAGGCGACGAUGCAUAGCCGACCUGAGAGGGUGAUCGGCCACACUGGGACUGAGACACGGCCCAGACUCCUACGGGAGGCAGCAGUAGGGAAUCUUCCGCAAUGGGCGAAAGCCUGACGGAGCAACGCCGCGUAAGUGAAGAAGGAUUUCGGUUCGUAAAGCUCUGUUGUUAGGGAAGAAUGAUUGUGUAGUAACUAUACACAGUAGAGACGGUACCUAACCAGAAAGCCACGGCUAACUACGUG
rnacentral:rRNA from 1 species